rfam:Triticum aestivum genome assembly, contig: Triticum_aestivum_CS42_TGACv1_scaffold_001847_1AL
AUUCUACUCCCUUCGUUGCACAAUACAUGCCUUCUAUUUGUCAAAAUAUAUAUGUAUCUAGACAUGUCUUAGUAUAUAGGUACAUCCAUUUUUGGACAAAUGGAAGUCAAGUAUUUUGGAACGGAGGGAGUACACA